GUUCAUAAUAUUUAGGUAGAGACCACCAUAAUUAAGGGAAAGCUAAGAUGCUUCCUUAGACUAUAAACAGUGCCACAAAAACAGUGCUUAAUAUCUUUAGAUUCAGCUCCUUACAGACAUUUCAAGCAAUUCUACAGCAUAAUUAUGUCUUGCUUUAUAUCAAAGGCAGAGCUUGCAGGACCAAGGGCUGUGUCUAAAAAACACUGCUGGCUACUGAGACAAGCCAUACUGGGGAAUUGCCUCCAGCAGGAACUUCUCAGCAAGGAGAAUAGGCAUCGAAUUAACCACUAAAGGAAAGAUAAAAAUCAAACCCAGCAUGUGGACUGGAGAGAACACACAUGCCAUAACUUCAUAACAGUCCUAAAGCCCCAGAAAUUUUCCUAUUGUUGCUUGUAUGACCAAGCUUGUAUGACUCACAGAUUAGGCUGUGCCAGUCAGGGGUGAUUGUGUGACCAUCCCCAUUUCCUGCAAUAAACACUUUCUGUGUCCUCUGCUCAACGCGUGAUUUCUUCAUUCUCCUCCCUUGCAGGGCAGAAACCUCAGUUGCUAUUCUGGUCCUUGCUAAAGGAAUGGCUCAGCUGCAGAACUGGAAUGAAACAUGGGACAGGCAGCAAAGGAUGUCUCCUCUGACUUGAACAUGGUCAGAACUGAGUCCCAGCAUGCCAGCUGCACUUUAUGUAUCUCCUUAUAUGUCCCAGUGUGGAAUUUAUCUUCGUCACAAAAGAAUGGUGCUGUGGCUCCAAAUCUCCUCUUCCUCCAUCAUUAAGAACUGCAGGCACCUUUUCCCAGUUCCAGCAUAAGUAAUGGAACCAAACCUCGUCAUGUGGUUUUAAUUCGAUUUUUUUUUUCCUCAGCAUUUUUCUUACUGAUAGUCAUACAAGUUCUCUUCAGUUAACUUGGAAUUAUAAAAAAUGGGUAGGGGUUCAAAGUAUGCUUAUAAUUAUAAGAAAUGUAUUUUUUCCCCAAAAAUGUUGUCUAUCAUCAACUAACCUUGUUUCUGAAUUAUUCCUGCAACAAAGACCAUCUCUGGAAAAAAAAAAGGAUAGCAUCAGAAAAAGACAAAUAUUAUGUAAAUCCAAAAUAUGAGCUAAGUUGAUAAGUGAUGUAACACAUUAGCACGCUGGAGAGAUUUGUAAUUGUCCAUAACUGUACUGCCAAAACACAGCUACAUAUUGGAGAGUGCAAAUCCCCUUUUGUAUAUCACUUAAUAUACAGCUUUGAUAUAGGAGUACAAAUCAAUACAUUUCCUUUGUAAUGAAAAAAUAUUUGUAAAACAAUUAAAAUUUUGGUCUGUGUACUGCAGUGCUGUGUGUGUGUAAAAUCUUUCAUGCAAGAAAGUUAUUGCAGUUGUACUUACCAGGUGCAUUUUAAUGCAUCUUGAUGUUAUUUUAAUUAAUACUAUUAUUAUAAUCUCAUUUAAUUUCACUUUGCUAAUUCUCUUUCAAGGAAAUAAGUUUGAAGGUGAACUGCAUAAAAGCUGACUCUGUAAAAUGCCUUUCUUUUAGGAAAAGCUCUGAAGAAUAAUGGUUUUCAGGGUGUGCCCAGAAUUCCUGCUUAUUUAUGUGCAUUAUUCCCAUCCUCCCUCCUGGCAUGCCUACAGCCCUGGGUACGCAUUUUACACUGUGGCAUCUUUGACCUACUAUGUUAAUUGUUGUGAGUUGUCCUAACUAUUUUUAAGAAAGAGGGAAAGCUGCAGGAGACAUCUUUCUAAGAAAUGUGUAAC
ensembl:lncRNA